GCGGCUCGCCUUUUCCUAUCUCUUCGCUCGCGCUGUCCUCGCUCUUGCCGUUCCGCUCUCGCGGCGCGGAAUACUCGCAACUAGGCGCGACGAGGCUGGCACGCGCGCGUCUACCUUUCAUACGGAUAUUUCUAUUUCGUCCCGAUAGCAAAUUCGAGCGUCGUCCGAUCGAUUCGUCGCGGAUGAACCGCCGUUCCCGGUCGCCGAAACGUUUCUUUUUUCCCGCGAGGUAGAACAACGCGGGUCGCAUGACGAUAUGUAAAUAUGCGAGGCCGAGAGAGACCGGAGUCUCUUUUUAUCACUCCGUAAUGACUGGAAAAGAUAAUAACAGGCCGCGUCGUUUGUGACAUUUGUCCGACGAUAUCUCUCGCGACUUGGCAUUUUGAGAUAUUGUUUUGCAGGAGUUGUGUAAUGCAGUUUCACCUCGCGUCGAGUGGAAUUUUCAAAUUGAUAAAGAGCGCACUCCCGAUGCAGCUGUCGAAGCUGACAAUGAGUCUCAUACAAUCAAGUGGAGCUUUGCUUAUCGGUGAAUUACACGCGUGAUCGAUGGUUCUUUGCGAUGACCAGCAAUUUUUGUCAGGUCACGCAAAGAUGGAUAUCCGAUGAUUUAUAUUCUCUAGAACAACGAUCUGAUAAAGCAGUGGCCAACUCUACUCUCACGACGCGACCGUCAAGUCGAUCGUUUCCUGAAUUGUUCCUGAAUUGUCGGUUUCUCAGAGACGGCUCCUCUAUUUUCAGCCUUAGCUUGAUACACUUGACGCUUAUCGCGUAAUAUCUAUUAUUAGAAACUUUAGAGACGUAUAUUUUUAUAACGCCAUGUAACAAUUUCUGGUAAAGUAGCGCUACAAGCCGCUAAAGAGCCAGAGAGCUGACAAUCUGACAAAUGAACGCAUUAUACAUUUUCUUUUAUACACGCGAGUUACACAAAACCGUGACAUAAUCGAAGAUGCCUACGCUUUUAUCUACUUUGACGAUCGCUGCGAACACCUCCAUGGUGGAAAGAUAUAAGGUGAGGCAAUCCUCGUGACGAGUUUCGUUUCGUUCUGCGCAUCCCAGGUUUGGUGGGGGAUCCGCACAGUUUCCGCCAUCUUUUUUUCGAUAACACGUUUCGAUAACCAUGUUUUUUUAAGGCAAUUUCCGAUGUUCUCGCGCAAUAUUCUAUUAUGCAGGAAUAAAAGCUUGGUGAAGAGCAUCGUCAAGUCUCUUGGCGCGACAGAGACGGAGCUGAACGCGUCGAGACGGACGACUCGCGUUGUGGGGGCACGGGCGUGCGGACGGUGAAUCUUCUCCGUGGAAUAAUAAGAGUAAUCAUUUUUCAGUAAUUGUGCCUUUGAGAGAUUUUCCUAUCCAUUCCUAUUUGUUUGAAUUUCCUAGUUAAGUAUAAUACUGUUCAAAUAGACCGCUAGUAAUGGCCGAAACUGUGCGGCGUUCUCUAUUGGCUGAUCCCAAACUGAAACUCAUGAUGCGCAUUGCCUCACCUUAUUUCUUUCCACCAUGGGUUUAGCUUUGUACGAGGUGGAAACAGCUGAGGGCAUUGUGGUGUACAGAUUUGCGGCAUUACUGGG